rnacentral:rRNA from 1 species
UGAGUAACCUGCCCUUAACUCUGGGAUAAGCCUGGGGAAACUGGGGCUAAUACCGGAUAUGACUCCUCAUCGCAUGGUGGGGGGUGGAAAGCUUUUUGUGGUUUUGGAUGGACUCGCGGCCUAUCAGCUUGUUGGUGAGGUAAUGGCUCACCAAGGCGACGACGGGUAGCCGGCCUGAGAGGGUGACCGGCCACACUAGGACUGAGACACGGCCCAGACUCCUACGGGAGGCAG